AAAAUAAAAAAAAUCCUUCCAGUAGCACCUUUAAGACCAACUAAGUUAGUUCUUGGUAUGAGCUUUCGUGUGCAAGCACACUUCUUCAGAUACACUGAAACAGAAGUUGCCAGAUCCUUCUAUAUAGUGAGAAGGUGGGGAGGGGUAUUACUCAGAAGGGUGGUGGGAAUGGGAGAUUGGCAGAUAGCUGAGAUGAGCCUGCUGACGACUCUUAACGACUGUAAUAGGUCUUACAGGAAAAGGCAAGGGGUGAGAAGGUGAGAAAUGGCUUAGUCAUGUAUAAUGGGAUAAGAAUCCAAUGUCUUUGUUCAAACCAGGUCUCUCCAUGGUUUUAAGUUUGGUAAUGAGUUGCAAUUCAGCAGCUUCUCUUUCCAGUCUAUUUCUGAAAUUCCUUUGUAGUAAAACAGCUACUUUGAGAUCUUGUAUAGAAUGUCCUGGGAGAUUGAAGUGUUCUCCUACUGGUUUCUCUGUUUUGUGAUUCUUGAUGUCAGAUUUAUGUCCAUUUAUUCUUUGGCGUAAGGUUUGGCCUGUUUGUCCAAUAUAGAGAGCUGAAGGACACUGUUGGCAUUUGAUGCCAUACACAAUGUUAGAUGAUGAGCAAUUGAAUAGUCCCGAGAUGGUAUGUGUGAUGUUGUUGGGGCCAGUAAUGGUGUUGUCCGGGUGUAUGUGGCAGCAAAGUUGGCAUCUGGGUUUAUUGCAGGCUCUGGUGCCAGUGUCCGUGUUAAGUCUGGUUGUAGUAUUAUUGUGGGUUAGGAGUUGUUUAAGAUUGGGCGGCUGUCUGUAGGCAAUGAAAGGUCUUCCUCCCAGAGCUUGAGAAAGAGAACUGUCAUUGUCCAGGAGAGGUUGUAGAUCUCUGAUGAUGCGUUGUACUGUUUUAACUUGGGAGCUGUAUGUGAUGACUAGAGGUGUUCUGUUAUUUUCUUUUUGGGGUCUGUCUUGCAGCAAGUUCUCUCUGGGUAUAAGUCUGGCUCUGUUGAUCUGUUGUCUAACUUCAUCUGCUGGGUAUUUUAGUUCUGAAAAGGUUUGCUGUAGAUCUCUUAGGUGAGAGUCUCUGUCUGUAGAAUUGGAACAGAUGCGGCUGUAACGUAGUGCCUGGCUAUAUACAAUGGACUGUUUGGUAUGUUUGGGAUGGUAGCUAGAGGCAUGUAGAUAUGUUUGUCGGUCAGUUGGUUUACGGUAUAAGGUGGUGUCUAUGCGCCCAUCCUGUAUUUUUAUAGUAGUGUCCAAAAAUGUAUUUCUUGCAUAGAUUGAUUCAUUGUAAGGUUGAUUGUGGGGUGAAAAUCAUUAAAUUUCUGGUGAAAGGUGUCCAGGGUCUGUUGACCAUGUGUCCAGAUGAUAAAAAUAUCGUCAAUGUAUCGCAGGUACAAGAGAGGUUUGAGUGGGUAGGAGUUUAGGAAACGUUGUUCUAAAUCUGCCAUGAAGAUGUUGGCAUACUGUGGGGCCAUGCGGGUGCCCAUUGCUGUGCCGCUGAUCUGAAGGAACAGGUCAUCACCGAAUUUGAAGUUGUUGUGGGUAAGGACAAAUUGGCAGAGUUUGGUGGCAAGGUCCGCUGUGGUUUUAUCUGAAAUGGUGUUCCUUAUAGCUUGUAAACCAUCGUUGUGUGGGAUGUUGGUAUACAGAGAUUCCACAUCCAUAGUAGCUAGUAUAGUAUUGUUGGGAAGAUUAUUUAAAGAUUGUAUUUUCCUCAGAAAAUCUGUGGUGUCACGUACAUAGCUGGGAGCACUGAUGGCAUAUGGUUUCAGAACAGAGUCCAUAUAACCGGAGACACCCACUGUAAUAGUGCCAAUACCUGAAAUGAUGGGGCGUCCUGGAUUUCCUGGUUUGUGUAUUUUAGGUAGAAGAUAGAAAGUUCCUGGUCGAGGUUCUGUUGGUGUGUUGGUGAGGAUCUGUUCUUGGAUGUGUGGGGGUAGCUCCUUAACAAUCUUGUUCAGUUCUUUCUUGUAUUCUUGUGUGGGGUCUGAGUCCAAUUUUGUGUAAAAGGCGGUAUUGGAAAGUUGUCUGUGAGCCUCCUGAAUGUAGUCAGUUUUGUUCAUGAUGACGACAGCUCCACCUUUGUCUGCUUCUUUAAUUAUAAUGUCUGGGUUGUUUCUGAGAUUAUCUAUGGCUCUCCUUUCAGCAUGGUUUAGAUUUUGUUGUAAGCGAUGGUGUUUUCUGGUCACAUCUGUUUGGAUUCUGUGGCGGAAGCAGUCAAUGUACAAGUCCAGUGUGGUAUUGCGUCCAUCAGGAGGGGUCCAUGUGGAGUCCCUUUUUGUGUAACACUUUUUCGGAGGUAGUUGGUGGUCAGUGUUCUGUUGGGAGGGUGGUUGUUGUUCUCCAGUGGGUUGAGAGGUGUUGUGUUGUGAAGUUGUUGUUUGUUCUGAUUUGUCUUGUUGUUGUGUGUGUUGAAAAUACUCCUUCAGGCGUAAACGGCGGAAAAAUGCUUCCAAGUCCCCGUAGAACUGAAUCAUGUGUGGGGAUUUGGCAGGGCAGAAUGACAGUCCACGUGAAAGGACUGAUUCCUCGGCUGGGCUGAGUGCUUGCUGUGAGAGAUUGACAAUAUUGUUGAUCUUGUUUUGAUUAGUAGCCUGUAGGUUGGAAAGGUUAGAGAGUUUCUUGUUUUUCUGUUUUUCAGUAGCUCCAGUUGAGAGUGGUAAAUGUUUUGUUUUCCUUUUGGAACUCUUGCCAAGCUUGGUGGUUCCUGAUAGAGUUGUCUACUACAAGGAGUUCCUCCUUUAUUAGCUUCUGUUUAGAGUAGAGAACGCUGAUCAGAUGUUUGAGCAGCUUCUUAGAGAAAGUGUUGCAUAGUUUUCUUGCAUAUUCAGUGGGAUACGUGGAUUGUAGAGGGUUCUUAAUUCUAAGACCCUUGGGUAUAAUGUCCAGGUUCUUGCAUUUAGUAAGAAAGAAGAUAUCAGUCUGUACCUGUGCAAGUUUCUUGGUGAGGUUGAUGGACUUCCAUUUCAUGCGGCUCAAUGUGGUGCCUUCCAUGGUUCCAGUUACAGAUAGGUAGCCGUGUUGGUCUGCCAUAGUCAAAAUAAAAAAAAUCCUUCCAGUAGCACCUUUAAGACCAACUAAGUUAGUUCUUGGUAUGAGCUUUCGUGUGCAAGCACACUUCUUCAGAUACACUGAAACAGAAGUUGCCAGAUCCUUCUAUAUAGUGAGAAGGUGGGGAGGGGUAUUACUCAGAAGGGUGGUGGGAAUGGGAGAUUGGCAGAUAGCUGAGAUGAGCCUGCUGACGACUCUUAACGACUGUAAUAGGUCUUACAGGAAAAGGCAAGGGGUGAGAAGGUGAGAAAUGGCUUAGUCAUGUAUAAUGGGAUAAGAAUCCAAUGUCUUUGUUCAAACCAGGUCUCUCCAUGGUUUUAAGUUUGGUAAUGAGUUGCAAUUCAGCAGCUUCUCUUUCCAGUCUAUUUCUGAAAUUCCUUUGUAGUAAAACAGCUACUUUGAGAUCUUGUAUAGAAUGUCCUGGGAGAUUGAAGUGUUCUCCUACUGGUUUCUCUGUUUUGUGAUUCUUGAUGUCAGAUUUAUGUCCAUUUAUUCUUUGGCGUAAGGUUUGGCCUGUUUGUCCAAUAUAGAGAGCUGAAGGACACUGUUGGCAUUUGAUGCCAUACACAAUGUUAGAUGAUGAGCAAUUGAAUAGUCCCGAGAUGGUAUGUGUGAUGUUGUUGGGGCCAGUAAUGGUGUUGUCCGGGUGUAUGUGGCAGCAAAGUU